GGACCUACGGGGGGCAGCAGUGGGGAAUAUUGCACAAUGGGGGAAACCCUGAUGCAGCGACGCCGCGUGAGCGAUGAAGUAUUUCGGUAUGUAAAGCUCUAUCAGCAGGGAAGAAAAUGACGGUACCUGACUAAGAAGCCCCGGCUAACUACGUGCCAGCAGCCGCGGUAAUACGUAGGGGGCAAGCGUUAUCCGGAUUUACUGGGUGUAAAGGGAGCGUAGACGGCAGCGCAAGUCUGGAGUGAAAUGCCGGGGCUCAACCCCGGAACUGCUUUGGAAACUGCCAUGCUAGAGUGCUGGAGAGG
rnacentral:rRNA from 1 species